rnacentral:tRNA from 1 species
GGGAUGGAGCAGUCUGGUAGCUCGUCGGGCUCAUAACCCGAAGGUCGUAGGUUCAAAUCCUGCUCCCGCAA